UACGAAGGGGGCUAGCGUUGCUCGGAAUCACUGGGCGUAAAGGGUGCGUAGGCGGGGCUUUAAGUCAGGGGUGAAAUCCUGGAGCUCAACUCCAGAACUGCCUUUGAUACUGAGGAUAUUGAGUCCGGGAGAGGUGAGUGGAACUGCGAGUGUAGAGGUGAAAUUCGUAGAUAUUCGCAAGAACACCAGUGGCGAAGGCGGCUCACUGGCCCGGUACUGACGCUGAGGCACGAAAGCGUGGGGAGCAAACAGG
rnacentral:rRNA from 1 species